UACGAAGGGGGCUAGCGUUGCUCGGAAUCACUGGGCGUAAAGCGCACGUAGGCGGAUUGCUAAGUCAGGGGUGAAAUCCUGGAGCUCAACUCCAGAACUGCCUUUGAUACUGGCGAUCUCGAGUCCGGGAGAGGUGAGUGGAACUGCGAGUGUAGAGGUGAAAUUCGUAGAUAUUCGCAAGAACACCAGUGGCGAAGGCGGCUCACUGGCCCGAUACUGACGCUGAGGUGCGAAAGCGUGGGGAGCAAACAGG
rnacentral:rRNA from 1 species